rnacentral:rRNA from 1 species
GUCUAUGGCCAUGCCACCCUCAACACACCCCAUCUUGUUGAUCUCGGAAGCUAAGCAGGGUCAGGCCUGGUUAGUACUUGGAUGGGAGACCACCUGGAAUACCGGGUGCUGUAGGCU